UCAAACUUGGUCAUUUAGAGGAAGUAAAAGUCGUAACAAGGUCUCCGUUGGUGAACCAGCGGAGGGAUCAUUACAGAGUUGCAAAACUCCCUAAACCAUUGUGAACGUUACCUAAACCGUUGCUUCGGCGGGCGGCCCGGGUCUCUCCCGGCGCCCCUCGGCCCUCGCGGGCGCCCGCCGGAGGUAAACCAAACUAUUGAAUUGUAUGGCCUCUCUGAGUCUUCUGUACUGAAUAAGUCAAAACUUUCAACAACGGAUCUCUUGGUUCUGGCAUCGAUGAAGAACGCAGC
rnacentral:misc_RNA from 1 species